UACGUAGGGCGCAAGCGUUAUCCGGAAUUAUUGGGCGUAAAGAGCUCGUAGGCGGUUUGUCGCGUCUGCCGUGAAAGUCCGGGGCUCAACUCCGGAUCUGCGGUGGGUACGGGCAGACUAGAGUGAUGUAGGGGGAGACUGGAAUUCCUGGUGUAGCGGUGAAAUGCGCAGAUAUCAGGAGGAACACCGAUGGCGAAGGCAGGUCUCUGGGCAUUAACUGACGCUGGGGAGCGAAAGCAUGGGGAGCGAACAGG
rnacentral:rRNA from 1 species